AGAGAAAGGAACAAGUGGGAAAAAAAAGAGGAGGUCUGCAAGCAGCCAGAAGGGAUAAGAGGACUAGACUGCAGGGUUACCAACAAGAGGUUUGCCGUUGUGUUUGGAUGUGGAUGACGUGGAAACAAGAUGAUCAGUAGUAUGUGUGUAUACUUAGUAAUUCUGAACUUACAAGCUCCUUCGUGUGCUUGCGAAAUGAUUAUGGUGUUGAUGUUGUGCUAUACUUGACGAGAUUAAUAUCCGUUGUGAAAAUAUGUAUCUGAUCUACAUGUUGUGUAUAUAGUUUGUCCCUUUUAUGGCUUGUAACUUGAAUCUGAAUAUAUGGUGCAAGAAAAAAUAAUGUGGACUUUUCUAUGGACUUGAUAAUUGUUAAAA